UGCAAGUCGAACGAGAAGCUAACUUCUGAUUCCUUCGGGAUGAUGAGGUUAGCAGAAAGUGGCGAACGGGUGAGUAACGCGUGGGUAAUCUACCCUGUUAAGUGGGGGAUAACCCUCCGAAAGGAGGGCUAAUACCGCAUAAUAUCUUCUCCUCUAAAAGAGGUAAAGAUUAAAGAUGGCCUCUAUACUAUGCUAUCACUUCAGGAUGAGCCCGCGUCCUAUUAGUUAGUUGGUGGGGUAAUGGCCUACCAAGGCGACAAUGGGUAGCCGGUCUGAGAGGAUGUACGGCCACACUGGGACUGAGAUACGGCCCAGACUCCUACGGGAGGCAGCAGUGGGGAAUAUUGCGCAAUGGGGGAAACCCUGACGCAGCGACGCCGCGUGGAUGAUGAAGGCCCUUGGGUUGUAAAAUCCUGUUCUGGGGGAAGAAAGCUUAAAGGUUCAAUAAACCCUUAAGCCUGACGGUACCCCAAGAGAAAGCUCCGGCUAAUUAUGUGCCAGCAGCCGCGGUAAUACAUAAGGAGCAAGCGUUAUCCGGAAUUAUUGGGCGUAAAGAGCUCGUAGGCGGUCUUAAAAGUCAGUUGUGGAAUUAUCAGGCUCAACCUGAUAAGGUCAUCUGAAAC
rnacentral:rRNA from 2 species